rnacentral:rRNA from 1 species
GACGAACGCUGGCGGCGUGCUUAACACAUGCAAGUCGAACGGAAAGGUCCUGCUUUUGUGGGGUGCUCGAUUGGCGAACGGGUGAGUAACACGUGAGUAACCUGCCCUUGACUUUGGGAUAACUUCAGGAAACUGGGGCUAAUAUCGGAUAGGAUCUCCUGCUGCAUGGUGGUGGUUGGUAAGAGUCGGCGGUUGGGGAUGGACUGGAGGCUUAUCAGCUUGUUGGUGAGGUAGGGGCUUACCAAGGCUUUGAAGGGUAGCCGGCAUGAGAGGGGUACCGGCGUCCUUGGGCCUGAGAUACGCCGCAGACUCCUAUCGUAGGCAGCAGUGGGGAGUAUUGCAGAAUAGGCGGAAGCGUGAGGCAGAAACGCCGCGUGCGUGAUGACCGCUUUCGGGUUGUAAACCGCUUUCGCCUGUGACGAAGCGUGAGUGACGGUAAUGGGUAAAGAAGCACCGGCUAACUACGUG